rfam:Felis catus isolate Cinnamon breed Abyssinian chromosome X, whole genome shotgun sequence.
GUCUGGCUGGCUCAGUCGGCUAGAGCACGUGACUGUUGAUCUCAGGGUCGUGAGUUCAAGCCCCAUGUUGGGCA